rnacentral:lncRNA from 1 species
GAGCAAUCCGCUAAGGAGUCUGUUUACAUUGAGCAGAUGUCAGAGAAUGAACAGGAAUUUCAAUGCCUAUUCUUUCGAUACUCACUUUAUUUCUCUCAAAUAUCGACAUUCUUAAUCUUUAAAUUUAUUAAUAUAUGUUCUUGGACUGAAUCACUUUCAAAGUAUACAUUAUAUKAUUUAAAUAAAGAAAUUGAUCCAUAUUCAUUCAUAUCAAUCCACACUCCACGUCAUUAAUCGAGUCCAAGGAGGAAGGAUAUGGAAACAGAUUACGUUACGUACUGUAGUUCCGGGAUCUGGGACUACUUUUCACAUUGGAAAACAUUGGAGAAGCGCAGUGAUACCAAAGAGAAACGCACCGCAGACAGGUGCAUGACGCAAAACAGAAACCCCAGUAGUAGAAGAUUUGGCUAUUUUUACAACUAAGAAACGCCGUCGGAAAACAUUGGACAGCCUUUGUAAUUGUACAGAAUGACAAUAAGUGUCUGUUUCCAUGAAGCUGUCGUCUGUUACCAUGGUAUAGUUGCCGGGAGUGAUUGUCACAGUUCAGCAAGCUAAACAGAGUCUGCUAGUAUUCUGAUCUCCCUCUUUCCGAGUGGUUGUCUACACCAACACACAACCUUAUUCAUUCUGCUCUCCUCCGGCAUGUCAGGUAAGGGCUCCCAUCCCUCGAUCCCUCCGUCCUCUCCCUUUUCUUUCCCUUACGCUUCCCUUUCUGAUAGUGCUUUAGAUUAUCCUUCUGCCAGUUUCUCCUAUCAUUUUCCAUUCCGUCUUUCUCUCAAACUUCUCUGUCAGGGUUUGUUUUCCCCCUGUCAGUCUAUUCUCACCUCGCCCCUUUCCCUUCUUUCCUCUCUUGUCCUUCUAUUUUCUUUGUCCCUCACAUUAUUGACUCACAAUCAGUUUAUCAUCACAGUACCUCAUUUUUUAUUCUAUCUCCCUCUUCUCUCAUUCCUUCCCCCUCUGUGUUCCCGGUGGUUACGCUCCAGCCCUGGGGGCCCCUUCUCAGCCCUGACCUCCAGUAUGUGGCCCCAGGACAUCCUGGCCAAGUACUAUCAGAAGGACCCAACAGAGGGGCAGGACUGCAGUAUGAUGAGUUUGGCUUCAGGCUGGACGUGAUGGUAAGAAGAAAACAUGGACUCAAACCUUCAACAUCACAGAUGUAUCACUCAUUGCAAUGCAUCAAUUUGAAUGUGGUUUGCUUCUUUUAAAUGAUAUCGGUCUUUACUCCCAGCAAUAGCAGUCAUUCAGUAGAUUAAGAGUUGACUACCGUGGUGUGUUGCAAUCAGCCCUCUCUUUUCCCUGGAUCAAAACACCGUUGAGUUUGUUCCUUGUUGCACCAAGUCAUAAGCAUUGAUAGGGAAAACUACUCCACAGAUGGUAACCACUGGCUGUCUUUGACUUCGCCAUCUAUUUUUAUCUCCAUAGUUGUGGCAUCUUCCCUAAUUGCGUCCACGAAUCCACCAUUGAAUUGUUAGAAAAAAAUAUGACCCUCCAUAAUAU